GCUUGGCCUUUCGGCGUCGGCUUCCUCUUCGCGACAUGAACAAUCCUCUGCUCGACGGCGAGAGCAGCGACGCGCGGCGGAGAGAUCGUUUCGUUCGCCGCUCCGACGCCCUCGCUUAUGGCUCUCGUUACCAGAAGGCAGCCGCUCUGGUCGAUCUGGCUGCAGAUGGUGUUGGUCUUCCAGUUCAAAUUCUCGACCAGGCAAAUUUUGAAAGUGCUGACAAACUCUACUUCCUCUUCACGAAAUUUGACAUCCUCUGGUCCCUUAAUUAUUUUGCAUUGAUAGUACUGAACUUCUUUGAGAAACCUCUGUGGUGCGCCGAAUACUCUGCAGAUGCUUGCAGUGAGAGGGAAUACUUUUUCCUGGGACAGUUACCAUACUUAACAGGCAUACAAUCUCUCAUGUAUGAGAGCGUAACUCUUGUUAUACUCAUGAUACAUACAUUCUUUCCCAUUUCAUAUGAAGGGUUUCGCAUCUAUUCAAGGAAUCCUCUUAACCAAAUAAAGGUUGUUUGCCUACUGCUUUUGGUCGCUGAUUUACUGGCAUAUGCCCUCUACUUAUCCCCUGUGGUGGCCCUUGAUUAUCUUCCUUUUAGAGCUGCACCUUAUAUUAGAGUUGUAUUUUUCAUUAUGAACAUACGGGAACUACGAGGGACAAUCUUCAUUCUGGCAGGCAUGAUUGGGACUUACUUAAAUGUCUUGGCUCUGUUGCUUCUGUUUCUAUUGUUUUCCAGUUGGGUGGCAUAUGUCAUGUUUGAAGAUACCGAACAGGGAAAGACUGAAUUUACCUCAUAUGGUGCUACCUUAUAUAAGAUGCUUGUUUUAUUCACCACAUCCAAUAACCCAGAUGUAUGGAUACCAGCAUAUAAAGUUUCACGUUGGUACUCCCUUUUCUUUGUCCUCUAUAUCCUGCUGGGGGUUUACUUUGUCACGAAUUUGGUCCUUGCUGUUGUGUAUGACAGCUUCAAGACUCAGCUCGUGAAACAAGUUUCUGAGAUGGACCGAAUGAGGGAAAUCAUGUUACAAAAAGCCUUUAAGCUCAUAGACAAGAAUAACGUCGGGUACAUCAAUAAAGAGCAGUGCAUACACCUGUUUGAAGAACUGAAUAACUACAGGACACUGUCAAAUAUAUCAAGAGAAGAUUUUGAGUUAAUAUUUGAUGAGCUGGAUGAUCGUCGUGACUUCAAGAUCACCAUGGAGGAAUUUUCUGAUCUUUGCAAUGCAAUUGCCCUCAGAUUUCAGAAGGAGGAUGCUCCUUCUCUGUUCGAGAAAUUUCCAUCAAUCUACCAUUCUCCAUUUUCUGAGAAGUUGAAGGGUUUUGUGAAAAGUCCAAAAUUUGGAUAUGUCAUAUCGUUUGUUCUCAUUCUGAAUCUGAUUGCGGUGAUUGUUGAGACAACGCUGGAUAUUGAAAACAACUCUGGCCAAAAAGUGUGGCAAGCGGUAGAGUUUGUCUUUGGUUGGAUCUAUGUGCUUGAGAUGGCUUUGAAAGUUUAUUCAUUCGGGUUCGAAAACUAUUGGAGGGAUGGUCAAAACCGCUUUGAUUUUCUGAUCACCUGGGUGAUAGUCAUUGGAGAAACUAUGACGUUUGUAGCUCCUAAUGGACUUGACUUUCUUUCAAAUGGAGAAUGGAUUCGCUACCUUCUUCUUGCUAGAUUGCUGAGAUUGAUAAGGCUGCUAAUGCAUGUUAAACGCUACCGGGCUUUUGUUGCUACAUUCUUGAAUCUUAUACCAAGUUUGAUGCCAUACCUUGGAAUCAUCUUUUGUGUACUGUGCAUUUAUUGCUCUCUUGGAGAACAGAUCUUCGGUGGCAUGGUCAAUGCUGGGAACUCCAAAUUGGAAGAAACUGAUCUUGUGGCUGAUAACUAUUUGCUUUUCAAUUUUAACGACUAUCCGAAUGGAAUGGUGACACUUUUCAAUUUGUUAGUCAUGAACAACUGGCAAGACUGGAUGCAGAGCUACAAGGAAUUAACAGGGACAUCUUGGACCCUCCUAUAUUUCAUCAGCUUUUACUUAAUCACUGUUCUACUGCUCUUGAAUUUGGUUGUCGCCUUUGUCUUGGAAGCAUUCUUUACUGAAAUGGAUCUUGAAUCGUCAGAAAACGGCGAGGGACAGGACAAGGAAACAAGGGGCAGGCGACCUCGUUCGGUCGGCUCGAAGACAAGAAGUCAGAGAGUUGAUGUCCUGCUUCAUCAUAUGUUGAGCUCUGAGCUUGACAAAGCAAAAUGCACUAGUCCUCAACCUUAAUCAUGUAACAUUGAGACUAGAAAGAUGUAUUUCAUCUCCCUGAAGUGCCUUCAGCUGGACGGCAGCAAAAUCUUGAGUGCUUUAGUUGUUUCAUGGUUGCAUGUACGAGUUGUCAAUGGUUUCUUUGCGUGAUUUUGAAGACCCUGAUUCGAGAUUAACUGGUCACAGCAGACAGCGUUACAUGGACCAUUUUGCAGAUAAACUGGUUCGAACCAUAUGUAUAUCGUUCUUUUUGGCACGAUUGCUUUUCCCCGUUUGUGUUGCUGAGUAAAUAUUGUACAGACGCGAAUUUCAACCCUAUGGUUUGAAACGCGAGUUGUCGACUUCUGAUGGAAUGAUUAGAUUUUUUGCGCAUUA